rnacentral:rRNA from 1 species
UACGGAGGGUGCGAGCGUUGUCCGGAAUCAUUGGGCGUAAAGGCGCGUAGGUGGCCCGGUCAGUCUUUGGUGAAAGCGCGGGGCUCAACCCUGCGUCGGCCAGGGAUACUGCCGCGGCUCGAGCACUGUAGAGGCAGGCGGAAUCCGGGUGUAGCGGUGGAAUGCGCAGAUAUCAGGAGGAACACCGAUGGCGAAGGCAGCUCGCUGGGACGGUGACUGACGCUGAGGCGCGAAAGCGUGGGGAGCGAACAGG